CUAUGUAUGAUGAAGGAGGUUGCAAGGGGGAGGAGCAGGUACUUUGUAUGUUUAUGUACUCUGUACAUGUACAUGUACUGUACUUACUGGCGCCCCCCCCGGUGGCACUUAAGAAAGCCACGGGGCGAAUUUUUUUUUUUUUGCCUAUGAGUUAAAGCGAAGACCCCGAUUCUUUUUCUUCUUCCUAGUGUUCGUAUCAUCGGAGAGAGGUACAUGUUUGGACAGUACCUGUGCGGACAAAUAAAGACGUUCAGCAGGCGAGCUUUGGCAUCCCGCCAUGCGACGGAUGAUCAGUAUAGGUCCGUAUAGAAACAUGCUGGGCACGGUACGUGGUUGCGCUUUGAUCCCCGUUAUCCCAGGGCCCGCACAUGCUUUGGGAGGAGAACGCCGUAUCGGGGAAUCCCGUUUGUUAAUUCAUCACUGUCGGCAAUUGUCCUGACUUUCUUUUAUAAACUCUUACAAAAUAAAGUCAAAUCAAGGUUUUCUUCGUGAAAAGCGAAACGGAAAUGAGAAUCGGGAACUUUCCGUCCCCCUUCCUGGAAAGGAAUGGAUGACAACAGAUGCAGCUAUGAAUUGCUACAUGGGUACUAAGAAACGUGCGUGAAUGCAUGCGGGAUGCAUGAAUACGUACCCUUCAACGACACGUUGUACGCAGGAUUACAUGCUUGCAUAUGGAUUUUAUUUUGCGCCGUAACGAGGACACUCGCGGAGCAGUCAAGGGGUGGUGCGGACGUUUGAUUGGCCAUAAAUAAACAUGAUAUCGGUCUUCUUCUCCAUAUUAUGAGGGGAAACCGGGCAUCGGUUGGUAUCCUCCAUAUUGAGCACGCAGCACACCGCCUGGCUCAGGGUAUAAAAGUGAAAUACAGAGAAGAGUGUUAGCAGAUGGGGGUAAUCAUCUUCUUGGUCACUCGUAGCUGUAUACAAUCGCUUGCAAACGAAUUCUGUACGAUGAAAAACAAUCAUGUUGUUUCUCUCUUUCUGUCAUCGCUGUAUUAAUGGAAGCUCACUGUCAUAUUGAUCUACUUAAGUAAUGCUUCUGAUAUAAACGAUGAUUUCAAUACAUACAUAUACAUACAG
rnacentral:sRNA from 1 species